rnacentral:rRNA from 1 species
UACAGAGGGUGCAAGCGUUGUUCGGAAUUACUGGGCGUAAAGCGCGUGUAGGCGGUUCGAUAAGUCAGAUGUGAAAUCCCUAGGCUUAACCAAGGAACUGCAUUUGAAACUGUCAAACUAGAGUGUCGGAGGGGGUGGCGGAAUUCCCGGUGUAGAGGUGAAAUUCGUAGAUAUCGGGAGGAACACCUGUGGCGAAGGCGGCCACCUGGAAGACAACUGACGCUGAGACGCGAAAGCGUGGGUAGCAAACAGG